AUUGGUGAUAAUGCUAUGAAUUUGCCUAUAUAGUGUGAUAAAUGCUGCUGUUUUCAUUCUAAGCAUUGAAAGGGUUAGAAAGUUGAAAGAAAUUGAAAUAUUUUCUAAAUCAAAAUAUGAGAAACAUUAUGGAUAUGACGGCUGUAAUUAAAUUAAUUAAUGAAUCACUUAAUUAUGCAUAUUGGUUAUGUCAUAAAUUAUUAUUUGACGUUUUUUAUUUCAGAGAGUGUUUCUGUGUGUCUUGAAGCAUUGAAUGCCCCAAAACAACCAGCAUGAUAAAAAGUUCAGAGUAUACAGCUUCCCAAAAUGUUGAAAGACUAAGCUGUUUUUCGAAGGACUUGUAUACAUCUAGGUUGAAAACAGCCAUGGACAAUGAAUUCGGAGGUGCAUACUGGAGCAUCAGAAAUUACAAACUUGGAAUAAAUAAUUGCAUAAUACACAUUUACUGAAAAGUGACUAAUGUUUAUGUUAAAGUGCAAUAUCCAUGUUUGUAACAUUUACUUGGGGGUAAAAGUUAGUGUUGAAAGAGACUACCAGUGUUACAUUUAAAUCUAAGUUACAGUGUGGAUGCUAAUUCUAAAUUCUUGAUAAUCAAGUGUUUUAAAUAACUUAUGAAUACUAAUUAUUUAUCAAACUGUUUAAUUUAUCAAAUUCCUACAUCAUUAUUUUAUAUAAAAUGCUUGUGGUUAUAUAAUAUAUGUUUAUACCCUUCGUUUUAGAAUCCGUCCCCGAAUUCCGGAUGUUUGAACCUCCGUGUGACGCUCCAAGGUUUGGUGGAUAAUUCGUGCUAUUUCGUCUUUUCGCCCAUAAAAAUGUUAAACUGGCUACGUUAACUGUACGCUAAUUAGAGUAGUUUUGCUCAGCGAUGCUCCCCGUCGGCCAUUAUAUCUCUUUCGGCCCGCGCUCCGGAUAGUGUAAGCGGGUUUUCGCGCCGCGUCCCCGCCAUUCAAUUAUCUUGAGUAUCGUGUUUUCUCCCAAAUGUUACAGACAGAAAAUGUUUCAACACUGACCGGGAACCGAGCACGGGACAUCUCUCAUGUAAAGCGGACGCUCUACCGCUUUAAAAGCUAGCUCAAAAAGCAAGCACAGUAUAAUGACCGAAAACCAGGGAUCGUGAGUUCGAGCUCCAGCUCCUCCAACAAAGAAUUGAUAACAUUAAGAUAAGAGUCUCAUGUAUGGUUGCUUUACACUUGGCAAUCUAAAGAACCAGGGAAGCUUAUGAAAUUGGAAAGUCUUCUGUAUCUUGCACUAUCCGCCUACUAAAAUUACUAACAGUCUUCUGGAAGAGUCGCCCAUGCGACUAUAAAUAACCUUAUAUACAAACAAACAAGGGCAGUAUAAGUGCAACCUUAUUCUAUAACGUAAUCCAUAUGUCUGGCAUGUUGUGUUUAGUUUAGAAUAGCUACUAGGCAUAGUGAAAUAGGUUUACAUCGCUUCUGUCGCGAGAUUAAUAAUUGAAAAUAUUAUCAAAUCAAUGCUAAAUUGAUAUUUUCUUGCAGAAUAAAGACGAAGGGCAAAGGGCCAACAAAAAUUAAAAUAUUUCCAAUGAAUAUUCAUAAGAAAAUAAAUAUAACCUUGAAAGUUAACAUGAAUCAUUUCAUUUUAUAGGAAGAUUUUUUAUUGUUACAGUAAAACCUGUAUUAAAGACCACCUCUGAACAGAACCACCUGUCUCUAUUGACCACAUGUUUUGUUUCCCAUUUUAACAUUUACAGUGUAUUUAACCUGUGAAUAAAGACCACCCCCAACAAAGACCACAUUUUGGCUUUCCAAAGGGUAGUCUUUGUAGACAGGUUUGACUGUAUUUGACUUUGAUAUUAUAAAUUUGUAUAAACAUUUGUUCUAUUAUUAUACUUAAGAGUUCCAUUUUUCUUUAUUUGACUCUUAUCAUCGGUUCAAAACAUUUCAGUUCAACCACACGGUGUAUGAUCAAUCCUAUAUUGUUGGUGCAAAACUUGCGGUGCCUUCACUUUUUGGUAUAAGCAACGAACUUUAACGUACUAAAAAUGUAAACACGCUAUGUAGCAGGAGGCGAGUACGUGAAAAAAUACGACUUUAGAGACUUAAGUUGAUUUUACUGAUGUUAUCACGGAACUAAAGUAACUUCUAAGCUUCCACCUGCAUGAAAACAAAAUGAAAAUCUUCAGCAGUUUUCGCCAUAUAAUCGUUACAGUUUGAGUACUGCUGUACAGAUUCAGCAAAUGUAAAUCGAUUCUUGCAUUUUUUAAAGAUCAGUGAUGUUUUGCGCACAGUCUUUUUUUACAAAUAUAUUAAUUUUUUAUCCGUAGAAACGGUAAAAGAAAAGAAA